UACGUAGGGUGCAAGCGUUAUCCGGAUUCACUGGGCUUAAAGGGCGCGUAGGCGGGCAGGUAAGUCAGUGGUGAAAUCUCCGGGCUUAACUCGGAAACUGCCAUUGAUACUAUCUGUCUUGAAUACCGUAGAGGUUAGCGGAAUAUGUCAUGUAGCGGUGAAAUGCUUAGAUAUGACAUAGAACACCAAUUGCGAAGGCAGCUGGCUAGACGAAUAUUGACACUGAUGCACGAAAGCGUGGGGAGCAAACAGG
rnacentral:rRNA from 1 species